rfam:Dendroctonus ponderosae Seq01032358, whole genome shotgun sequence.
AUCGGUCUGUUGUGGUCUUCAGAAAAAAACUUCUGAGCUGAUUACCAGGUUUUGGGAAAAUUUAUUUCCUUCUUCGGGUUGCAUGCUUGCAAACCCCGAAGAAGGAAAUAAAUUUUCCCAAAACCUGGUAAUCAGCUCAGAAGUUUUUUUCUGAAGACCACAACAGACCGAUU